rnacentral:misc_RNA from 1 species
UACAGUUGAUAAGCAAAUUGUUUCAGUGAAAAAAUCUGUCCUGAAUUGGUUUGGUGCUUAAAUGAGAUUUUUUAUAAUAAGAAUCAUAAAACGCUUACAAAGCUCUGAUGGAAUAUUGUUAUGAAUCCCUUAAAGCAGGAGCAGCUAUCUUCUACUCUCCAAUCAACAAGUGCAAAAAUCUUAAGUGGUGCUACAUUUGUUUGCUGUAUAAUUGAAUGAAGCAUUUGAUUCUUGAAAGUUUAUGCUAUAUAACUUUUUCAGUGAAUUUUCUGAUUGGAUGCUUAAAAUAAAAUGUUUAAAAUUAAAAACCAAUUCUGCUAUGAUAAUUUUAAGAACUGCCUACCAAAAAAGGACUUGCGAGUGAUAGCGGGUUUGUACCUGUUCUGUUGUUAACUAUUGACCAGCUCCACCACUAGGAAUUUGGGAUUUUAGAAGAAUGUUUCUUUUCUAGGGACAGACUCAUUGCCAAUCUGCUCUAAUUUAACUUCCAAAUGGGGUUGAGAAAAAUGAGCAUUUGGAGGUUCAUGGAUGUAAAUAUUUAACCUUCAUUAACUUUCAUUUACAUCUUAAAAGAACUCAUAAACGAAGCUAAUGAGUCAACCUUCACUCCACCCCUUAGCUCCCUUUAAUCAACUCCCAUGCAAUAUAUUAGCACUGCAAGCUAGCAAGGUUGCUUGAUGACAUUUUAUCGGCAUAUUUCUUCACUUGAUUGUUCUUAGAUGUCUUGAAAAGUAAUCCACUUGUGUUGACUAUGAUUCAGGACAAUGUGGUUCCCAUGGACUUCCAGGGCGAGAUGGGCUGAGUGAGACUUGUUUAAAGGAUCUUCUCCAUGGCUCUGAAUAUGUUCUUACUUAUGAAGACAAGGAUGGUGAUUGGAUGCUUGUUGGUGAUGUACCCUGGGAGUAAGUGCAUUCACUUUUAACAUUCAAUUUUGAAGCUUAUGAAUAAUUUUUAGUGCGCUGAAUUUGCAUAAUUUGUGCCUUGAGAAAACUGAGAUAUUGGUAAAACUUUGUUGUUCUAUGUUAAUACAGGAUGUUUACCGACUCAUGCAGGAGGCUGAGGAUCAUGAAAGGUUCAGAGGCAAUUGGACUUGCUCCAAGGGCCAUGGAGAAAUGCAAGAAUCGUAAUUAGUGUACAAGCAUCAUUAUUCAAGGAGGCUCAAAAACAAGUUUUCUGAAAUUCCAAGAAGCCUGAAGAGUGUGUAAAAGUUGAGUACUUUGUUCAUGAGCAGUAUAUGUUUGGAAAUGUCAUAAGUUUGCUUUUUUAAGUGAACUGGGAAAGAAAAAACUUUCUAGUAGACAGAAUGUCAUUGAAGACAAAUAUUUAGGGUUUGCUUAGUUUAAUUAUUCUCUUAGCUCUACUCUUUCCAGGUGUAUUCCAAUUUGUGUAAAAGAAUGGAUUGUUUGCCUAGAAACCACCGGUAUUAGCUCUAAUUACUACUCAGUUACUAACAUUUGAUCCCAAAUGCUUAUCAUUUGGUAUGCAAUAUGGUAUUGGACAAAUAUGAGAAGGCUCACAAGAAAAGACUGUUAUGAGUUUGCAAUUAUGAGGAAUAAUGGCUACACCUGUUUUACAUACAAGUAUUAUCACAUGCUGGGAUGCACUGCUUCACUCCAUUUAUGUUUUGUCUCCAAUUUGUUGUUUUUAGAGCCCCACAACUGCUAUAACAACUUGCACCAUCACAGGUACCUUGUAUUGAUUGUGGAAAAUGGGUCAUUAAUGCAGAUAAUGUGUAUAAUCACAUUUUAGAGGCUACACUGGCAAUUGUGCCAGUUCUGUUCAACAAAGUUAGAAAUAGUAUAGUCAACUCAUGGGUUUUGAGUGCUUGCCCAUCUUCAUCACAUAAUUACAAAGUCAAUGUAAGGAGAUUAGCAAUUUGCAGACAGCAAAUAAGGGAAUAGAUAUUAACAAGAGAUUGAACAAACAUGUUAGAAAGGAAGUAAUGGGGUAAAGUACUACAGAAAAUUGAAUGAACAUUAAAAUGAACAGGAAAAAAGAAAGAUGAAGAGGGAAAAAAAGAAAGAGGGAGGGAGGAGGGCAUGGGGGGGAGGAGUUGGGGGAAGGAGGGGAGGGGAAGGGAUGGGGUGGGGGUUGUAAAAAACAAUUUGCAAGGUUCAUUCUGAAAACCUAUGUGGAAAAGGCAUUAAUAUUAACAAACUUGUUUUUCAAUCUACGCAAAACUAACAGCUCCGUCAUCCGCUCUGGACAGCUUUAAGACUCUUGUUCAGAGAUUUGAAGAUAUACCAUCUGUGUAUAACCAUUAAAUACAGAUGUCUCUAGU